rnacentral:lncRNA from 1 species
AACAAUUAAAGGAUAAUUGGGAGAUAACUAGAAGGACAAAGUGAUAUUUAAAUAUAAAAGUGGCACUAGGUUGGUGGACCUCACCUUUUCCAUUUUCUGAUAAAUCAGCCAACACAAGACACUUCUCAUCUUCUCCCUCUUUCUCACGUUGGCAGAACAACAACGACAACAUAGUUUUCUCUCUUCCUCACCACCAUGUUAAGUUUAUCCAACUUCGAAUCCCACAUGCAAAUUGAUAAAUAAAUACCCAAGAGUAUAUAAAAGAUCAAGUGAGCUUUGAUUUCUUUUCUUUUUCUACUUGACCGAACUUCCUCUCUGUACAAUCAAACCUCACUUCAAGCACUUCAAGCUCAAGUUUUCUUCUAUUUUUGGGUUUCAAGCAAGGACUGGUCAUGGGGUUAAGUUUACAAGUGUUAAGAGAUCAAGGUAAGUUAGUAAUUUCAAUUCCCAUCUUCCCUUUUGUUGAACCCUAAACCCCAAUUCGUAAUUGUUCCUAACCUUCCUUUUACUGUUCUGGACUGCACAAAAUUCUAUUGAGAUUGAACUAUGGAACAUGGAAGAACAAGUUUGAAGGAAAGAGGAGUUUUGGAAUAAGUCUAGGGAAAUUCGUGUUUUGGACAUGUCUUCACUGAAACGGUAACUGCUCCUUCUCUGUUACUCGGAUUUAAGAUCUUCUUGUUGCUAUGGAAAGCUAACGAAAUUCCCUUCGAUUCGUGUACCAACUUCGUAGGUUUUAGCCUAAUAUCGAGGUCAGGGGACGAUUUUAAAGUGGAGGGUCUGAAGUUGAUUUGUGCAGGAAAAUCUGGACUGUUCGUGGAGUCUCGCCGAGCGAGAAGCGAGGAUAGCAGUUCUGUUCUGCUACUACAUGUUGUUGUGGUUACUCCCUGCUGAUUCACGUCCAGUCUAUGCAUAUGAGAUUUUACCGAGCAAUGGAUGCAGUAAUGGGAGCUAAAGAAUAAGGAACAAAUCUUAGAGUUGAAACUCAUUCAAGGAAUUGUUCAUCUAAUAUCAGGUGGGUUCCCUUAGAGCCUUAAACUCUAGAUAGUUUAGUACCAUAGUUUCCCCAAAUCAAGAAUAUGGAUGACAACAUUAGUUUAGGAAGUAAGUUAAUAUUCCCCAAAAUUAUGAUGCAUGAUAACAUUAAGAAUUUUAGGACUAUAAUGUGUGUGAGGUGGAUUAAAUCCCCAAGUUCACCUCUACUAUAAAUGAUGGAUAUUGGUUAAUGACUAUGACUGGAUGAAUAUGGUUUGUACGUGGCAAUUUAAUGAAUUUAUAUAGAAAAUGCAAAACAGAAUACUGAACUGGUGUAUUCGCUAAGCGAGAAUUAACUUUGCUAGGCGAGCAUAGAAGGACAGUACACUGCAUAUUUACUACUUUUCAAACUUAGCCACUCGUUUUAAACCCUUAUCCAUUCUGAAACUUUUCCAUAGACAAUAUACUGAUAUACUAUGUUUAUAGCGUCAAACACACUUCAGGAAAUUAUGUAUCAGGAACCAGGACAGUUUAGAAAUACCUUGGAAGGGAAUUCNNNNNNNNNNNNNNNNNNNNNNNNNNNNNNNNNNCAGGAUUAUCAAGUUAAGUUAGGAAAGUCAGUCAAUCAUGGUGGUUACUUUUGUACCACGUUAUGGGAUUCAGUAGAAUCCAAUUAUGUUAUGAUUGUGAGCUUCAGCCGUGCCAAUGUAUAUUAUUAUCGCAGACGGAUAUGUCAGGCCUCUGAGACCGGCUCACCUCAGAGUGUCUUUGUUAUGAAUAAAACGAACAAGAUAAUAAUUUGUGAUACACCUUUAUGAUAUUNNNNNNNNNNNNNNNNNNNNNNNNACACCAAUAGUAACUGGGUAGUAGGAAUCCACUGAGACGAAGUGACUGUCUCAUCCCCCACUUAUUUGAUUUCAGAUAACCAGGUUGAUCGCGAUGUCGUGGUCAGCAAGCAUGAAGACUCAGAUACGUGGAGUACGAUUUGGAGCCGAUGUUAUGUUUAUCUUAUAUCUUGUAUAAGAUUCAGAUUAAUUAUGUUUAGUUGUUGGCUCAAAUUUGUAUUCACUUCUUGGAUUUUGUAAUCCUAUUCAUGUGUUUGAUCUUUAUGUAAUGAAAAUUUAAUGUUUUCCGAUUCAGUUAUGUACACUAUUGUCGAUAUUCUAGAUAAAUUGACAUGUGGUGUUAUAUUUUGUAAUUUAUAUAUUCUUAAAAAUCAAA